AGGCCAGCUGGGUCGGCGCCGACCGUUCGGUCUGCGCUACCGUGGCGCAGGGCGGAAACCAGCCUGACGGCUGGUCCGGCGCCUGCUGGGCUUU
rnacentral:tRNA from 1 species